AGUUGCAUCUGUUGCAUUUCGCAGGACUUUUAUCUCCUGGUAUCAACCUGUGCAUGCACUAGGAACACAAAUGUUGUUGAGCGGAUCACAAUCUACAUUACUGAUUUGCUUUUAUUUUUCCUUUUGCUAGAUUUUAUGUUUUUGAACUCCGCCGUUGGAUUCAUAUGUACCGCUGGUUUUGGCAGCUCACAUAUGCACAUGACUCCUUUUUUGUUAUUAUUUUUUCCUCCCUUACACUUUGGUUAGUUGUGCCAAUCAGUCAGUUCAAGUAUGUUCUGACUUAUUGUUAUACUAUUUAUCUGAGCUGAAAUUUCUGUUGGCAAUUUUCUUAUUUGCUUGUAUUUCUGCUUCUCUUUUAUGGCGUCAUGCCUGUGGGAGAUGGGUGUUUAUGUUUUUUGAUCUGACCUCAUUAUUCUGUAUUGUCCAGGCAAUUCAAGGAGAGAAGUGGCGUAGUACUAUUUAGUGCAUGAAGAAAGGAUAACCAGCGGGGUGGGAAGGUAGCUAGAUAUGCUCUCUUGUGAUUUCACCUAGACAAUCAAGUGAUUGAAAUCUGGCGGUGGAUUUGGCCAAUUAGCCCCGAGUGAGGUGAUGACGACAGACUAGGAAAUGGAAAUGGAUGGUGACUCUAAUUGCUGCCGCCAGGCGCAGACAAUGAGGAAAGCAGGAGAGUCAAUCGAGAAGGGUGAGCGGAGAGGUAAGGCAAGGCAAGGCAAUAUAACAUCAAAACCUGUUUAAGCCAAAUUAAAAAAUAAAAACCUCAUAUAAAAUCUUCCUUGCUCUCUCUCUCUCUCUCUCUCUCUCUCUCGUAGUACGAACAUGGAGGAUCGUGCUCGCAAAGCCCCAACAAUAGAAGAUCAAAAAGCUCCACCACUCAAAAUUUGUGAUUUUCAAGUCCCGUGAUUCAUUCCGAACAAUCUCCAGUCUUGCAUUAUGGAAAUUGAUCAGCUACAAUGGAGAUGCACUAGAUUUGGAUGCAAAGCUCCUCGCCGAGGCCAAUCCCGAGCAUCUCAUCGCUUGGAAUUUCAAAAAAAGUAAGAACCGUACCUUUCUC